GCGCGCUCUUGAACUCGUGAUUUCGGGCUUGACUGUGGCGUUGUUUUGUUGUUUGUCGUUGGGGCAGCUUCGCAGCUGUAAUCGCAGGUACUCUGGUCAAAUUAAAAAUCAAAUAAGAGUGGUAACAACUUCAAAUGUAAAAGAGCGCUAGCUUUCUUUCUCUCUCUGUGGAAGCACUUUUAAGUAAAACUGCUAUACUAUCAGGGCGCUGAACAGGAAGGGGCUGCUGAAUAACGCUACAACAUUUAACAUAUUGCUAAUAAUAAUACUUCGCUAAAUCUGCGGUUUAGCUUUGCUCCAGGGAGCCACAUUUUGUACUUGAGCGUGAGAAACCUUGCAGAAGGCUGUGAUGAGAUUGCCAGCCAUGCGUUGCUCAUGUCGGUGCUACUUUUGUGCCCCGCAAGAGCUGAGCGAACUGGACGAGGGGGAAGAUACCAGUUCAAGCCAGAGGUGAAAAUGCAGACAUAUGAGAGAUGUCUGAGCUGUUGAAGUCACCCAGUCAUAGUUGUGAUUGUUAUAAGAUGUGCUGCUUAAAGAGGAGAGAAAAAAAUCUCACAACUGUACUUGAAUGCUUUCAGAGAAAGUUGCCUGCAAUUAUAAAUGUGGACCCUAGUAGAAAUGCA